rnacentral:rRNA from 1 species
CCUACGGGGUGCAGCAGUGGGGGAUAUUGCACAAUGGGGGAAACCCUGAUGCAGCGACGCCGCGUGGGUGAAGAAGUAUUUCGGUAUGUAAAGCCCUAUCAGCAGGGAAGAAAGAAGACGGUACCUGACUAAGAAGCCCCGGCUAACUACGUGCCAGCAGCCGCGGUAAUACGUAGGGGGCGAGCGUUAUCCGGAUUCACUGGGUGUAAAGGGAGUGUAGACGGCCGUGCAAGCCAGGAGUGAAAGCCCGGGGCCCAACCCCGGGACUGCUCUUGGAACUGUGCGGCUGGAGUGCGGGAGGGGCAGGCGGAAUUCCUGGUGUAGCGGUGAAAUGCGUAGAUAUCAGGAGGAACACCGGCGGCGAAGGCGGCCUGCUGGACCGCGACUGACGUUGAGGCUCGAAAGCGUGGGGAGCGAACAGGAUUAGAUACCCGGGUAGUC